UGCAUCUGCCAGGUUUCGAACCCGGGCCGCCCGUGUGGCAGGCGAGCAUUCUACCACUGAACCACCGAUGC
rnacentral:tRNA from 1 species